rnacentral:rRNA from 1 species
CCUACGGGUGGCAGCAGUGGGGAAUCUUGGGCAAUGGGCGCAAGCCUGACCCAGCAACGCCGCGUUAAGGAAGAAGGCUUUCGGGUUGUAAACUUCUUUUCUCAGGGACGAAGCAAUUGACGUUACCUGAGGAAUAAGCCACGGCUAACUACGUUCCAGCAGCCGCAGUAAUACGUAGGUGGCAAUCGUUAUCCGGAGUUAUUGGGUGUAAAGGGCGUGUAGGCGGUAGAGCAAGUAAGAUGUGAAACCGCAGGGCUCAACCCUGAGCCUGCAUUUGAAACUGUGUUUCUUGAGUGCUGGAGAGGCAGGCGGAAUUCCGGGUGUAGCGGUGAAAUGCGUAGAUAUAAGGAGGAACACCGGUGGCGAAGGCGGAUUGCUGGACAGUAACUGACGCUGAGGCGCGAAAGCGUGGGGAGCAAACAGGAGUAGAUACCCCUGUAGUC